CAGUCGCCGCGGUAACACGAAGGGUGCAAGCGUUAAUCGGAAUUACUGGGCGUAAAGCGUGCGUAGGCGGUGAGUUAAGUCUGCUGUGAAAUCCCCGGGCUCAACCUGGGAAUGGCAGUGGAUACUGGCUCGCUAGAGUGUGUCAGAGGAUGGUGGAAUUCCCGGUGUAGCGGUGAAAUGCGUAGAGAUCGGGAGGAACAUCAGUGGCGAAGGCGGCCAUCCGGGACAACACUGACGCUGAGGCACGAAAGCGUGGGGAGCAAACAGGAUUAGAUACCCGAGUAGUCCCUGUCUCUUAUAC
rnacentral:rRNA from 1 species